rnacentral:rRNA from 1 species
GACGAACGCUGGCGGUAUGCUUAACACAUGCAAGUCGAACGAGAAGUUUUUUAUUGACCCUUCGGGGGAUAUAAGAGACAGACAGUGGCGAACGGGUGAGUAACGCGUGGGCAACCUACCUAUCGGAGCGGGAUAGCCUCGAGAAAUCGGGAGUAAAACCGCAUAACACAGCAGAAUCGCAUGACUUUGCUGUCAAAACUCCGGUGCCGAUAGAUGGGCCCGCGUCUGAUUAGCUAGUUGGUAAGGUAAGGGCUUACCAAGGCAACGAUCAGUAGCCGGUCUGAGAGGGCGAACGGCCACACUGGAACUGAGACACGGUCCAGACUCCUACGGGAGGCAGCAGUGGGGAAUAUUGCGCAAUGGGGGCAACCCUGACGCAGCAAUACCGCGUGAGUGAAGAAGGUUUUCGGAUCGUAAAGCUCUGUUAUUGGGGAAGAAACAGUGACGGUACCCAAUGAGGAAGUCCCGGCUAACUACGUGCCAGCAGCCGCGGUAAUACGUAGGGGACGAGCGUUGUCCGGAAUCACUGGGCGUAAAGGGCGCGUAGGCGGUUUUAUAAGUCAGAUGUGAAAGGUACCGGCUCAACCGGUGACGUGCAUUUGAAACUGUAAGACUUGAGUACUGAAGAGGCAAGCGGAAUUCCUAGUGUAGCGGUGAAAUGCGUAGAUAUUAGGAAGAACACCGGUGGCGAAGGCGGCUUGCUGGGCAGAUACUGACGCUGAGGUGCGAAAGCGUGGGGAGCGAACAGG